CAAGACCGCCACGCAAGGGCGUUCAGCAUGUUCAGCGGCGGCGGGCCGCCAUGUGCUCCGUGUCGUCGGGCCACAACAGUGCGUGCUGUACAGCUGCGAACCAGUGUAUUGUCGGAUUAAAGUGGGAGAGGUCCACACUAAUAACAAUGCCACCGAAGAAAGUAGAACCCUCGGCUCUCCAAUGCUACUAUGGAGUGGACCAAAGCACUGGUACGACGAUUGCAUAGAGGUCCAGGAGUCAUCAGGACAAAUACCUCUGAAAAUAUACG
rnacentral:lncRNA from 1 species